rnacentral:rRNA from 1 species
GCAUAUCAAUAAGCGGAGGAAAAGAAAAUAACAAUGAUUCCCCUAGUAACUGCGAGUGAAGAGGGACAAGCUCAAAUUUUAAAUCCAUCGGGUUUUACCUGAUCGAGUUGUAAUUUGAAGAAGCGUUUUCUGCGUAUUUGAUCAGCCUAAGUCCUAUUGAAUGAGGCAUCACGGAGGGUGAUAAUCCCGUCCGGUUGAUCAUUUGCGUUUUACGAUACGCUUUCUAAGAGUCAAGUUGUUUGGGAUUGCAGCUUAAAAUGGGAGGUAAAUUCCUCCUAAGGCUAAAUAACGGCGAGAGACCGAUAGCGAACAAGUACCGUGAGGGAAAGAUGAAAAGAACUUUGAAAAGAGAGUUAAAUAGUACGUGAAAUUGUUGAAAGGGAAACGAUUGAAGCCAGUCGUACCUUCGGGUAAUCAGCCUUUCGGGUGCGAUUCUGUGGAGUGUGAGGAGCUUAAACACCUUCAUGUUUUGCAUAUUCGUACUCUUGGGUGUACUUGCCCGUGUGGUUGGUUAACAUCAAUUUUGGUGGUCAUAAAAUGACUGGGGGAAUGUAGCUUCGAUCUUGUAUUGAAGUGUUAUAGCCUUCGGUAGAUGUGAUGAUCGAGAUUGAGGAUUGCAACGGAUACCCUUCGGGGCUACCUGUCUGGUCUCUGAUCGUUGCUCUGGUGCCGAAAGCUUGCUUACGGUUAUCAAAGUCGAUGGUCAAUAGGUUAGAACGGGUUAAAUUCGUUAAGGAUGUUGACGUAAUGGCUUUAAACGAC